GUGAAACGUAGCUUACCAGAAAGCGCAAUAUUGAAGAUAUUGAGACAGAUUUUAGUAUAUCUCGAUCACA
rnacentral:tRNA from 1 species